AGAGUUUGAUCCUGGCUCAGAUUGAACGCUGGCGGCAUGCUUUACACAUGCAAGUCGAGCGGCAGCGCGGGGGCAACCCUGGCGGCGAGCGGCGAACGGGUGAGUAAUGCAUCGGAACGUACCCUGGAGUGGGGGAUAACGCCGCGAAAGCGGCGCUAAUACCGCAUAUGCUCUGAGGAGGAAAGUGGGGGACCGCAAGGCCUCACGCUCUGGGAGCGGCCGAUGUCCGAUUAGCUAGUUGGUGGGGUAAAGGCUUACCAAGGCGACGAUCGGUAGCUGGUCUGAGAGGAUGAUCAGCCACACUGGGACUGAGACACGGCCCAGACUCCUACGGGAGGCAGCAGUGGGGAAUUUUGGACAAUGGGGGCAACCCUGAUCCAGCCAUGCCGCGUGAGUGAAGAAGGCCUUCGGGUUGUAAAGCUCCUUUUGGUCCGGAAGAAGCGCCUUGCCUAAUACGCGAGGUGGUUGACGGUACCGGCAGAAUAAGCACCGGCUAACUACGUG
rnacentral:rRNA from 1 species